rnacentral:rRNA from 1 species
UACGAAGGGUGCAAGCGUUGUUCGGAUUUAUUGGGCGUAAAGCGAACGCAGGCGGACUCAUAAGUCAGGUGUGAAAUCUCGGGGCUCAACCUCGAAACUGCGCCUGAAACUGUAAGUCUAGAAUCCCAGAGGGGAAAGGGGAAUUUCGCAUGUAGGGGUAAAAUCCGUAGAGAUGCGAAGGAACACCGGAGAAGAAGUUGCCUUUCUGGCUGGGUAUUGACGCUGAGGUUCGAAAGCGUGGGGAGCAAACAGG